rnacentral:rRNA from 1 species
AUUGAACGCUGGCGGCAGGCCUAACACAUGCAAGUCGAGCGGAUGAAUGGAGCUUGCUCCUGGAUUCAGCGGCGGACGGGUGAGUAAUGCCUAGGAAUCUGCCUUGUAGUGGGGGAUAACGUCCGGAAACGGGCGCUAAUACCGCAUACGUCCUGAGGGAGAAAGUGGGGGAUCUUCGGACCUCACGCUAUCAGAUGAGCCUAGGUCGGAUUAGCUAGUUGGUGGGGUAAAGGCCUACCAAGGCGACGAUCCGUAACUGGUCUGAGAGGAUGAUCAGUCACACUGGAACUGAGAAACGGUCACGACUCCUACGGGAGGCAGCAGUGGGGAAUAUUGGACGAUGGGCGAAAGCAUGAUCCAGCCAUGCCGCGUGUGUGAAGAAGGUCUUCGGAUUGUAAAGCACUUUAAGUUGGGAGGAAGGGCAGUAAGUUAAUACCUUGCUGUUUUGACGUUACCAACAGAAUAAGCACCGGCUAACUUCGUG